ensembl:lncRNA
GGCGUCGUCGUCGCCGCCGAGGCCCCGAAACAGACUUUUCCUGUCGACUCCCGCGGGUGAUGAACUGGACCGGUUGGUUGCUUUCAAUCUGGGUUUACUUCUCACACCGUGGCUGCUUAAACCGGAAAGAAGUCAUGAAGGUUGAGGGCGAAAAGACAUUUUAAAUGCACUUUGAGGCUUCGGCGCGAAUGUUUCGAAUGAACCCACGGCACGCGUUGAACACGUCAAAGUCUGUUGCCUUGAAACGUGCGACAGCUGCUCUCUGGACUCUUUAAGUCAAAAACAGAAACACUUUUGAAUUAUUUUGCCUUCUUUAGUAUAUUUCUUUUAUUCGCCAACAAGGUGAGUGAAUAAAAUUAAAAUCCAGUAUUUUUUUUCCCAUCCCUUUUUCUAUGAUAUGUGCAAUAUCUUUGUUCUGAUUUUGUACAUUAACAGCAAGCAAAGUGUCCCUCCAAUUUGUGCGUUUCCUUUUUUUGCGUCAUGUUGCGUCAAUAUUUAUUUAUUUUUGUUUCUGACCCGUGUCUAAGUCCUUCUUGGUAAAUUAAUGUGUGGCUGUCCUCGUGGUCUCUUCGGAGACACCGACUUGGAGUUGAGUGGAAUGUCUAGUAAGUGAUUUUUUGCAUGUAAUGUUAUAAUGUGAGGCUAUCCUCUGCACAUUGUAUAACAAAUCAGUGUUACCAUAGCAAGUUUAAGUGCAAUCAUGUUCUGAAGAAUGCAGACUUGUACUAUGAGUGGACGUCUGUUGUUGUCCAGGACGGGAUUCAGGUGAAGAAAUAUAUAUCCUUUUUUCAUUUAAGAAUAUAUAAAUACUUACUUACACAGUUUACGGUGGAAAGAGGAAUGUGUGUAUAUAUAUUUUAAUAAAAGGAAAAUGCUUCUCUUUGGGCUGAACAAAAAUAUUUUGCUGGAUAAGCACAUAUGAAAGAACACUUUCAUUUUCUUCAGGAAAUGCAGGUAUGAUCUACAAAAUGCAAACUGAACAAAGGAACUGGGUAUAUAUGUAAAGAAGAACUUUCUACAUUCUACAAAUAAGAGUCUAUUCUAGUGUGUAAAUUAGUGACAGUGAACUGUUUGUCCCAAUAUUCAGGUUGUAAAUGUAUUUUAACAUUCACAAGGAAAACCAUCGCCGUAAGUCAGGCUUAUUCUCACACAUUUCAAGGGAGUUACCGUGGAAACAACAGUGCUUCAAAUGUCUGCAGUCCGUCUUUGUGAGAAAGAACCCCAACGAUGCACUGCAUGGAUCAUCAUGUGUCCUAUUCACUGUGAGCUGAUGGGCGGGGGAGUCAAAAGAAAUCAGCAUAUGCAUUUUGGUUUUGAUUCAUUUUGAAUUUCCUCUUGUUGCCCUACGUUAGGCUGGUAGUUAUUGAAGCUCAGCAUGCAUUUCAUCAACAAAGCCAUCGUGUAAAUGACAAACAGAGAUCGGUUGCUGAGGGCUUUUCAUGGUGUAAAUAUGGGAUGUUGGCGUGCAGAGAGACGAACUGCUCGGAAGGUCGGUUUAUCUUCAUGAAGCCCUGAAGGGACCAAGAGAGAGACCAACGGCUUAAAGCAGCUGUACAUAAUGUGUAUAUGAUCAGAACUAUAUUCUGAUACCUGCAGUUGAUCUAUGAACAUAUCGAUUGUCUGAAAUCUGCCGUAGGAAUAAAAAAACAGACUGUUAGAAAGUUCGCUGCCAUUUACAUCUAGCUCUUUUUUUUCCAUACAUGCACCCCCUCCCCACCCCCCCCCCCGUAAACACACGCAGACAGAACUACACACUUCCUGCUGCAAGCUGUUCAGUCUGGAGUUGGACACAUUUUAAAAAGAGGAAAAUACAAGAACGGCCUCGUUUAUAUGUGCAUUCUGUUUGUACAGUGAGUAGUGAGUCAGUAAGAACCCAGUUAUUGUAAAACUUCCAACUGUGACGAUGUUGAGAACGCAAAAUAAACAAAUAUAUGACUUAUGGUAAGCAUGUUGUUGUUUUUCCUCUACAGAUUAUAUAAAGUACCAAAAAUAAAAUCUCUCAUCGAG